UGGGGAAUAUUGGACAAUGGGCGCAAGCCUGAUCCAGCCAUGCCGCGUGCAGGAAGAAGGCCUUCUGGGUCGUAAACUGCUUUUCUCUGGGGAUAAAAAGCCCGUGCGCGGGAAAUUGAAGGUACCAGAGGAAUAAGCCACGGCUAACUACGUGCCAGCAGCCGCAGUAAUACGUAGGUGGCAAGCGUUGUCCGGAUUUAUUGGGUUUAAAGGGUGCGUAGGCGGUUCCAUAAGUCAGUGGUGAAAUACGGCAGCUCAACUGUCGAGGUGCCAUUGAUACUGCGGAACUUGAGUACUGAUGAGGUAGGCGGAAUUGACGGUGUAGCGGUGAAAUGCUUAGAUAUCGUCAAGAACACCGAUAGCGAAGGCAGCUUACCAAGCAGUAACUGACGCUGAGGCACGAAAGUGCGGGGAUCAAACAGGAUUAGAUACC
rnacentral:rRNA from 1 species